GCAGUGUCUCGGUCUGCCGCUGGCACUUCGGUGCGAGAGGAAAGUCCGGGCAGCGCAGGGCGCUCCACUUCUGAAAGUAGAAGCUAUUGGUGACAGUAGGAUACGGCAGAAGAAAACAACCGCCAGCCAUCGUCAGGCUGGUAAGGGUGAGAAGGUGGUGUAAGAGACCACCAGCCACCGGGUGAUCGGUGGGCUGUGUCGUCUGGAGGCUGCAAGUUCAUGUAAACCAUCGGCUGAGGGUUGCCCGCCCGAUAUUUCCCGAUGGAGGGUAGAAUGCUUGACUUGUGUGGUGACGCACAAGCUAGAUAAAUGGCAGGCGCCACCGCCAUGGAAGUGGCGGUGGAACAGAACCCGGCUUACAGGGGCACUGCUUUC
rnacentral:RNase_P_RNA from 2 species